CAAAACCAAAACAAUCUGGACCUCUCCUUCCCAGUGAGCAGCCAACCAAUGUGGAAAAAUGGCACUGAGCCACUCUGUGAAGGAGCGAACCAUCUCUGAGAACAGCCUGAUCAUCCUGUUGCAAGGCCUCCAGGGACAAAUAACCACUGUGGACCUUCGAGAUGAGAGUGUGGCCCGAGGACGCAUCGACAACGUUGAUGCUUUCAUGAACAUCCGUCUGGCCAAUGUCACCUACACCGACCGCUGGGGGCAUCAGGUUGAGUUGGAUGACCUUUUCGUGACAGGUCGUAAUGUCCGAUAUGUCCAUAUCCCAGACGGUGUGAACAUCACUGCCACAAUCGAGCAGCAGCUACAGAUCAUCCACCGU
rnacentral:lncRNA from 1 species